CGGGGAGUGGCGCAGUCUGGUAGCGCACUGGUCUGGGGGACCAGUGGUCGUCGGUUCAAAUCCGGCCUCCCCGACCA
rnacentral:tRNA from 1 species